rnacentral:rRNA from 1 species
UACGUAGGGGGCAAGCGUUAUCCGGAUUUACUGGGUGUAAAGGGAGCGUAGACGGCAGCGCAAGUCUGGAGUGAAAUGCCGGGGCCCAACCCCGGAACUGCUCUGGAAACUGUGAAGCUGGAGUGCAGGAGAGGUAAGCGGAAUUCCUGGUGUAGCGGUGAAAUGCGUAGAUAUAAGGAAGAACACCAGUGGCGAAGGCGGAUGACUGGACGGCAACUGACGGUGAGGCGCGAAAGCGUGGGGAGCAAACAGG